GUCGAGAAUCUUCCCCAAUGGGCGAAAGCCUGAGGGAGCGACGCCGCGUGAGGGAUGAAGGCCCUUUGGGUUGUAAACCUCUGUUAGGGGGAAAGAAAAGCAGUGGAAGCAAUAUGUCCAUUGCCUGACGUUACCCCCAGAGAAAGCUCCGGCCAACUCCGUGCCAGCAGCCGCGGUAAUACGGGGGGAGCAAGCGUUGUCCGGAAUCAUUGGGCGUAAAGGGCGUGUAGGCGGCUUGGCAAGUCGAAUGUGAAAUCCCACGGCUCAACCGUGGAACUGCGUUGGAAACUGCCUUGCUUGAGGGCGGGAGAGGUGUGCGGAAUUCCUGGUGGAGCGGUGGAAUGCGUAGAUAUCAGGAAGAACACCGGUGGCGAAGGCGGCACACUGGCCCAGCACUGACGCUGAGGCGCGAAAGCGUGGGGAGCGAACGGGAUUAGAUACCCUUGUAGUCC
rnacentral:rRNA from 1 species